rnacentral:tRNA from 1 species
GCCUGGGUGGCUCAGUCGGUUAAGCGUCCGACUUCCGCUCAGGUCACGAUCUCGCGGUCCGCGAGUUCGAGCCCCGCCUCGGGCU